AUCAAAUGUGGCCGUCCUUGGGAUUUACAGCAAUUAGCGAAUUACGGGAGUGCGCACGAGGCUGCAAGUUCUCCGCAGCCCGGCUGGGCUCGGCUCCGGCUCGGCCUAAGGCUGGGCACUCCGCUGCCGCAGCUGACUUGCAGGUGUGUUCUAAGAGCGUGAGGUCCUGGAGGCUCCACGAACCCUGGAGCGCCUCCGGGCUUGCCCAGAUCUUCCUGGCUCCUCUGUAGCUGCUCCAGUCCGAAGAAAACCCCUGGCUGUCGCGUUCCCUGGAGCCACGACUUUGUGGGGCCUAGGCUUGGGGGGAGGAGGAAUUCUGCCCAGACUCUCCAGCAGUUGGUAGCAGGCAGGCUUUCUCCUGUGUCGCCUGGAAAAGUUGCAAAAUUGCUCUUCACCUGUAAGAACAUGCUUUUUUAUCUUCCAGUCUCUUCUUGUCAAUUUGGAAAUUGCAGACAGCCCGGCUCAGGCAUUAAGAGAAAUUGAUUAGUGACAAGGAAGAGAAGAAAACAUUGCUGGUCAGUAGGCCACGGUAUUCAAGUCCCUCAGAUAAAUGGCUCCUGGGAGGAGAGAACACAUCCAAUGUAAUCCUGACGUAUGCAGAAUUGAGUUCGGUUUGAACCCAGCCAUCAAGGGAUGAAAGGAAGGACAUGUGUUCCUCUUGUGAAAGAGACAGCAAUGCGUCACUGUGAUCAACUCCUGUGAUAUCUGUUGAACCCUGGAUCUUCUUCGACAACCCUACCUUUGUGUUGCAUAAGCACAUCCGCUCUCUAGGUGGACGGUAGUAAAACAGGUGAACUAUACAAAGAUGACCAGGUUCCCCUGCAGACGUAUUUUAUAUUUUUAUAUAGAACAGAGGCAG
ensembl:lncRNA